rnacentral:rRNA from 1 species
UACGAAGGGGGCUAGCGUUGCUCGGAAUCACUGGGCGUAAAGCGCACGUAGGCGGACUCUUAAGUCGGUGGUGAAAUCCUGGAGCUCAACUCCAGAACUGCCUCCGAUACUGCGAGUCUCCGAGUCCGGGAGAGGUGAGUGGAACUGCGAGUGUAGAGGUGAAAUUCGUAGAUAUUCGCAAGAACACCAGUGGCGAAGGCGGCUCACUGGCCCGGUACUGACGCUGAGGUGCGAAAGCGUGGGGAGCAAACAGGG